GACGAACGCUGGCGGCGUGCUUAACACAUGCAAGUCGAACGGGCCCGCCCCUGUUUUUGGGGGUGGGUUGAGUGGCGAACGGGUGAGUAUCACGUGAGUAACCUGCCCCCUGCUCCUGGAUAACUGCUUGAAAGGGCGGCUAAUACGGGGUGUGCCGGCUGGUCCGCAUGGGCCUGGUCGGGAUAGUUUCAUCUUCGGGUGUUUCGGUGGGGGAUGGGCUCGCGGCCUAUCAGCUUGUUGGUGGGGUGAUGGCCCACCAAGGCGGUGACGGGUAGCCGGCCUGAGAGGGUGGGCGGCCACACUGGGACGGAGACACGGCCCAGACUCCGGCGGGAGGAAGCAGUGGGGGGUAUUGCACAAUGGGCGGAAGCCUGAUGCAGCGACGUCGCGUGAGGGAUGGAGGCCUUCGGGUUGUGAACCUCUUUCUCCGGUGGUGAAGGACCUGUCCGUUGCGGCGGGGUUGACGGUAGCCGGGUAUGAAGCGCCGGCUAACUACGUG
rnacentral:rRNA from 1 species